GACGAACGCUGGCGGCGUGCCUAAUACAUGCAAGUCGAACGCACAGUUUAUACCGUAGCUUGCUACACCAUAAACUGUGAGUUGCGAACGGGUGAGUAACGCGUAGGUAACCUGCCUGGUAGCGGGGGAUAACUAUUGGAAACGAUAGCUAAUACCGCAUAAUAUUUAUUAUUGCAUGAUAAUUGAUUGAAAGAUGCUAUUGCAUCACUACCAGAUGGACCUGCGUUGUAUUAGCUAGUAGGUGAGGUAACGGCUCACCUAGGCGACGAUACAUAGCCGACCGGAGAGGGUGAUCGGCCACACUGGGACUGAGACACGGCCCAGACUCCUACGGGAGGCAGCAGUAGGGAAUCUUCGGCAAUGGACGAAAGUCUGACCGAGCAACGCCGCGUGAGUGAAGAAGGUUGUCGGAUCGUAAAGCUCUGUUGUAAGAGAAGAACGGGUGUGAGAGUGGAAAGUUCACACUGUGACGGUAUCUUACCAGAAAGGGACGGCUAACUACGUG
rnacentral:rRNA from 1 species